GGGGAAUUAAUGACGGCGCCUCGCCGGCGUCGGUUCUCAAACCACUGCGUAUCGAGCUCUUGUUAGUUGCCUCCCCCCCUAAUGGGGGGGAGGGUCCAGCUUCCGAGAACUUUUCGUUGCCCCCUUUCCCUUGACCGGCUGGCUAGCACGCUGCGUAAGCUCGAGCGAACAAUGGUCGCGCACCGUAAAAGGCACGCGCUAUAAAGACUGCCCAUUGCUCUGCGAACCAGCGUGCGAACGGACGAGCCACCGCCCCUCCAGAUCCCGAGGAAUGCUCUUCGGAGAACCGGCAGAAUCUGGGCUGUAUUUAUACGGUCAGGGCGUGACGGUUCCGUCCCCGCUAUCCCCCCAGAGGGAGAGGGCCCCCCAAACCUUCCGUCGUGAUGGCAUCGUCUGACUACUAUUGAACAAAUAGAAAAUACAACUUUCAACGAUGGAUCUCUUGGCUCCGGCAUCGAUGAAGAACGCAGCGAAAUGCGAUAACUAGUGUGAAUUGCAGAUUUCAGUGAAUCAUCGAGUCUUUGAACGCACAUUGCGCCUCUUGGUAUUCCUCGAGGCAUGCCUGUUCGAGCGUCGUUUCGCCCCUCAAGCGCGAGCUUGGUGUUGGGGAUCGCCCCUGAGACACGGCGGCGGCCCUUAAAUGCAUCGGCGGUGCUGGUGCCAGCCCGGAGCGCAGCAGACAUGCGGCUUCCAGGCGGCGCGGCGCCCGCCGGACAACGAGACUUUUUUUACGUGUCGACCUCGAAUCAGGCAAGGAUACCCGCUGAACUUAAGCAUACAGA
rnacentral:rRNA from 1 species